rnacentral:rRNA from 1 species
GAUGAACGCUGGCGGCGUGCCUAAUACAUGCAAGUCGAGCGAACGGACGAGAAGCUUGCUUCUCUGAUGUUAGCGGCGGACGGGUGAGUAACACGUGGAUAACCUACCUAUAAGACUGGGAUAACUUCGGGAAACCGGAGCUAAUACCGGAUGAUAUUUUGAACCGCAUGGUUCAAAAGUGAAAGACGGUCUUGCUGUCACUUAUAGAUGGAUCCGCGCUGCAUUAGCUAGUUGGUAAGGUAACGGCUUACCUAGGCAACGAUGCAUAGCCGACCUGAGAGGGUGAUCGGCCACACUGGAACUGAAACACGGUCCAGACUCCGACGGGAGGCAGCAGUAGGGAAUCUUCCGCAAUGGGCGAAAGCCUGACGGAGCAACGCCGCGUGAGUGAUGAAGGUCUUCGGAUCGUAAAACUCUGUUAUUAGGGAAGAACAUAUGUGUAGCUAACUGUGCACAUCUUGACGGUACCUAAGCAGAAAGCCACGGCUAACUACGUG